UGUUUUAAGAGACAAGAGUGUAUCCUGUAA
rnacentral:piRNA from 1 species